GAUUAGCGCUGGCGGCGUGCCUAACACAUGCAAGUCGAGCGGCAGCGAGUUUUACACUGAAUUCUGGAAGCUUCUAGUUGAAAGAGAAGAUUUAUUCAAGAAUUUUGUGUAAAAUGUCGGCGAGCGGCGGACGGCUGAGUAACGCGUGGGAACGUACCCCAAAGUGAGGGAUAACGCAUCGAAAGGUGUGCUAAUACCGCAUAUGGUCUUCGGAUUAAAGCCUUCGGGCGCUUUGGGAACGGCCUGCGUAAGAUUAGAUAGUUGGUGGGGUAAUGGCCUACCAAGUCGACGAUCUUUAACUGGUUUGAGAGGAUGAUCAGUCAGACUGGAACUGAGACACGGUCCAGACUCCUACGGGAGGCAGCAGUGAGGAAUCUUCCACAAUGGGCGAAAGCCUGAUGGAGCAACGCCGCGUGCAGGAUGAAGGCCUUCGGGUUGUAAACUGCUUUUAUAAGUGAGGAUUAUGACAGUAACUUAUGAAUAAGGAUCGGCUAACUACGUG
rnacentral:rRNA from 1 species